ACAAAACAAUAUAAUGAAAUAUAGAGAAAUGUUGAAAAACAACAGUGGUAUAUAUAAUAUGACCCCAAUUUUUAAUCCAACACUACCUUGAUAAAUUCAGACUAUUAAUGCAAUUUUUCUUUAGGAUUCAGGACAUUCUUAAAGUGAACAGUCCAAAUUGUAUUUGCUGUCUAGAAAACCAACAGAAGUGUAGCUUAUCAAGGAAAAAGAUGAGAAGCUCCAUAAAAUUAUAAAAAGGAAGCAACAAAUUCCUGAAAAAUUUAGACCAUGUACACAAUCAAUUCAUAUUGUUCAAAGCAUGAGUCCUAAUUAAUUAGAAUAACAGCAGUAACAACUAUUAAGUACCUGCAUUUGGGAAUACUCUUAUUGCCUACCAAAAAGAAAAAUAAAACUACACCAAUUCAUAAUUUAUGCCAUGCAACUAAUGAGAAAUAUUGAGUUACUUUACAAUCCAUCAUUCACCUAUCUGAGCACAUAAUAUUUUUCAGCCCUAUGAAAUACCAAGUUCUUUAAUAGGGCAUGGAGAUCCCAAAGAUGAAUUAGACAGAAAUCUUGCCCUUAAGCAGGUCAAAACCUACUGGGUGAUCCAGGUAGGUAGACACUGACAUUGAAUGUGAUAAGCUCAACACUGAAGUUGUACAUAAAGGCUACGAAGACAGUGCAGCUGUAGGUCUUGGGUAAAUGGGAAAAGUUUUCAGAGAGGUUGAUUCUAGGCUGUCUUAAAAACUGUGAGGAGGUUGCCAAAUAGACAAAGGAGGGAAAGGCAUUCCCAGGAGAGAAUAACAGGUUCAAAAGCUUAGAGAUGGAAGAGGAUGCUUCCAAUCUGGGAAUCCCAGACAUUUUAGUAGAACUAGAAUGCAAGAUACUAGAUCUGUAGAGAAUGGGAAGAGUUGAAGUAAGCAGGGGGAAAAAGUGUCUUAAUGCUAUUCUAAAUAGUUUGGGUUUCAUAGCAGAGAGCCCAGAAAAUAUUUGGGACUGAGUAGUGACAUGAUCUCAUUUGUGUAUCAGAAAGAUUAUUCUAGGAUGAAUUUGGAGGCACUGAGGCUUAUUUUGGAGUUGGACUUAGACCUGCAGACACUUAUCACUGUUAGAUGGGCCCUUCCAAGAGAAUUUGUAAACAGAGAUCUUGCUCUCAGGAAAUUUAACAUUUAAUUCAUAGAACCCAAAAUCACAGCCUACAGAGAAAUGCACUUUCUUAAGGUAAUGUGUUCUGUUUGCCAGCACUUUGACACAAAGAGAAGUGCUGGCUUCAUAGAAAUAAUUAAUCCUCUUUUUCUGCCACUGGGAUAAACAAAGGAAAGAAAGAAAUAGAUGUUAUAAAAAAAUAAAAUCCAAGGCAGAUCAAAGGGGAUGUGGCGGAGGAUUCAGCAACUGCCACCCUUAAGCAAAGAACAGUAAUGAAGAAAUGAGUUUUGGCAGCCUAGCCAAUGGGAUAUGAAAGAAAUUAAUCCCGAAGGGAUGUAAUGACCUGAAAAAAAUGAUGAGCAAAGUCCAGAAGGAUUAGAAGAAAGAAAAAGGCAGCAGACAGGUAAGAGCCAUUUUCUUCUCUGUCUUGUCUAUCUGAAGGAUAUCAGAUAGUCCUCAGCGAUGGGAGCUGUGGAAAAGCAAGCCAAAGAAUUGAUUUGGCAAAGUCAUUUAAAUUUCUUAUUCUUCUUAUUCAUUUUUUCUCGUUAAGGCAAAGAAUGGUACUUUAAUUUACUGUCAUAACACAGGAACUAGCUAUUGAUAAGAUUAACCUUGUUCAAUCAUGAUGAAAUUCAGUAAACUCAGGACACAUUUUUGGAUACUUUGUUUUCCCAGCUAAAGAUAAGAGUUGCUCCUAAGACUCAGACCUUUAGUAUAAUGUACACUGAUGGUUUUUAUUUUUUUCUUUCCAGAAUGGACUUCAGUGCAACAGGGAAUUAAACUGAAAUCAUUAAAUUCUUUCUGCUUAGCACUUUAGAGAAAAUUUCUAUCAGCCUGCCUAAGUGCUCACCAUGGGAAACUGAAACCAGGAAUUUAAUCUCAAAUUUCUGAAGACAUUCAGACUUAUCCAUUGUUCUAUGAAUCAGGAAUAUGUUAACAGAAGUUCUGGUUAUUGAAGAAUCUUCAGAAUGAAAAUCAAAUUAUGAAAUCCCCAGGUAAUUUGACUUCAUGGCCAGCAUUGCAUCUCAGAAUAUUUUUUAUAAGGGCUACAAAAGUGUGACUAUUAAGCUUUUAAAAAAAAUUAAAAUAUCUUUUCAGUUGUAAUAUUCCCACCAUGGGUGAAGUCUGCUGUCUGAUUGCUAGAAUUUUGGCCGAUGCCUUCUUGCACCUCUAUGAACCCGACUCCAGCCCCUCCCCUCUAAUUACUGCCCACAGUGAAGAGAGAAUUUCUGCCCACUCCCUGCAAGCCCAGGUAGGGGAGCAUUUGCCAAGAAGCCUGCCCUUUACCGCAAGUGUGCAAAGUGGCAACCGCAGCUGACAACAUCCCCAGGGGCCCUGUCUUGUGGUCUGGCCGCAGUGAGAAUUUUCUCGGCUUCCUAGGGGAGAGGGCACUGACCCAGCUUUCAGCUGGAGCCUGCUGCUGGAGAACUAAUUACUAGUGUGAAAAAAGCCUGGAUUCAGGUCAAUGUUUUCUCAAACAUUGUUUACAUUUGAUUUUAAAUCCAUACAAUGGCAGAAUUGACAUUUGCAGCUUGCUACCACAUUCAUUUGUGAGGUUUUAUGUUACUUUAUUUUUAGGUUGGAAAUGUUUGAGGAGGCAUUUAUCAUGAAAGCCGUGGCCUUUGCUCCUAAAGCUUCGUCUCACAAGUACAAUAACAAAAACUGCUAAUUAAAAGAGGGAAAACAACCAGGAGUCAAACACAAAGGGGCAUCCCUGCCUCAUCAGCACAGAACAAUCGACCGGCUCCCUUCACUGCCCAUGCGAGGCUCCAUGUGAGGAAGCCUGCUCUGCCCUUCCAGGAAGCAGGUGUGGGAAUAGAAGGAGGCACCACUCAUCUUCUGCAGAAAAGCAAAAUGAAGACAUCAUCAGAGAGCAGCACUCAUUGGAAGUAGCUCCUCGGGUUCCCUUCUAAUGUCAGGGUGAGAAUUCAGGGCUCUCUUGAGAGCACUAUUAUGUGCCUACUAUGUGUCAGGCAGAACUGGCUACAAAAUUCAAGGGGCCCAGAGUGAAAUGAAAAUGUGAGGUACCUUGUUCAAUAAUUAUGAAGAAUUCUAGGAUGGCGAGAGCAGAGCAUUAGAGGAAAGGCAAGGUCCUGUGCAGCUGCGCGGGUCACACACCCAUGCAGCCAACCCUGGUGCCAGGCACAGCUAUACCCACAUUAGCUCCUGUCUUUUACUGAAUAGCACAAUAACUCUGCAAUACUGGAGGUUUUUAACAUUAUCCAGGCUUUACAGAAGAAGCUACCGAAGCUCAGAAAGUCAUUUUAUUCAAGGCCAAUCAGCUAAUUAGAGCUCAGGUCUCCUACUAAACACCAGAAUCACAGCUAGCCACUCCACAACAUACAGAGGUCAGUAAACCACUCAACAUUGUAUCUGAACUUCCAGUCUUCCAAUAUCUGAACUCAAUCAGGUAAGUCUCCUAAACACGCCCUACCUGUUCUAUCUGUGCUUUGCUCAGUUUUCACCAAAUAGGUAUUAGCUAAAUAAACAUGUGGAUGAACACAGCAUCCAUUACAAUAGUAAUAUAAUAUUAUCAUACUUACAUUGUAUAAUAUAAUAAUGUACUUCAUUCAAUUCUCUACAUUUUUUAAAGUAUUGUCACAUAUUUUAUUUUUUUCUAGGAAAUUUUUAUUGCUGAGUGUUUUAAAUUAUACUCAUGAUUUAUAAAUUCUCACAAUUCUGAGCCUGCUAUAGGACAAGAGAUGUAUCUGCCAACAUUCAUUCAAAGUUGUUGGCUAAGCACUGUGCUAGCCACUGGGGAUGCAUGCAUAUACACAAAUGCUCUAGUGCAUUUCUUUCCCUUAAAGGCCUUGCCAUCUAACAGGACUGACAGGAAAACUACAGAAAGCACAGUAGUGUGGUAAGUGCACGAGUAGGGUAUGGACAGGCUCAGCAGGGUCUGAAAUAAAUCAGACCUGGGACUUGUGAAAUGUUUACAAAGAACAAGAUGCUUUUUAAAGGUGCAUAAAAGGUGUUUGUUUUGUUUUGUUUUUGAGACAGGGUCUCACUCUGUCGCCCAGA
rnacentral:lncRNA from 1 species